AUUGAACGCUGGCGGCAUGCCUUACACAUGCAAGUCGAACGGCAGCAUGGAAGAGCUUGCUCUUCUGAUGGCGAGUGGCGAACGGGUGAGUAAAGCAUCGGAACGUACCGUGUAGUGGGGGAUAACGUAGCGAAAAUUACGCUAAUACCGCAUACGCACUGAGGUGGAAAGCAGGGGAUCGCAAGACCUUGCGCUAUACGAGCGGCCGAUGUCAGAUUAGCUAGUUGGUAGGGUAAAGGCCUACCAAGGCGACGAUCUGUAGCGGGUCUGAGAGGAUGAUCCGCCACACUGGGACUGAGACACGGCCCAGACUCCUACGGGAGGCAGCAGUGGGGAAUUUUGGACAAUGGGGGAAACCCUGAUCCAGCCAUGCCGCGUGAGUGAAGAAGGCCUUCGGGUUGUAAAGCUCUUUCGGCUGGGAAGAAAUCGCACAGGCUAAUACUCUGUGUGGAUGACGGUACCAGCAUAAGAAGCACCGGCUAACUACGUGCCAGCAGCCGCCGCGG
rnacentral:rRNA from 1 species